AUACAGAGGUGGCAAGCGUUGUUCGGAAUCACUGGGCGUAAAGGGCGCGUAGGCGGCCACGUAAGUCCCGUGUGAAAUCCCCCAGCUCAACUGGGGAACUGCACGGGAUACUGCUUGGCUCGAGUUCGGGAGAGGGAAGCGGAAUUCCGGGUGUAGCGGUGAAAUGCGCAGAUAUCCGGAGGAACACCGGUGGCGAAGGCGGCUUCCUGGACCGACACUGACGCUGAGGCGCGAAAGCUAGGGUAGCAAACGGGAUUAGAAACCCCGGUAGUCC
rnacentral:rRNA from 1 species